rnacentral:rRNA from 1 species
UCUGGUUGAUCCUGCCAGUAGUCAUACGCUUGUCUCAAAGAUUAAGCCAUGCAUGUCUAAGUAUAAAGGUAUUUACAAUGAAACUGCGUAUGGCUCAUUCAAACAGUUAUAGUUUAUUUGAUAUUCAAACUUAUAUUUAUAUUAGUUUAAAUGGAUAACCGUAGUAAUUCUAGAGCUAAUACAUGCGUUACGGGGAACUUUACGGAACCCCAGUAUUUAUUAGAUUUUAAACCAGCAUUCCGCAAGGUCUACUGAGAUGAUUCAUGAUAACUGAUCAAAUUGCUGGGUCUACCAGCAAUAAAUCAUUCAUGUUUCUGCUUCCCAUCAGCUUGAUGGUAGUGUAUUGGACAACCAUGGCAUUCACGGGCUAUCGGGGGAUUAGGGUUCGAUUCCGGAGAGGGAGCCUGAGAAACGGCUACCACUUCUACGGAAGGCAGCAGGCGCGAAAAUUAUCCAAUCCUGAUUCAGGGAGGUAGUGAAAGAAAUAAUGAACUAGGAUUUAUCCUGGGAUCACAAUGGGCUUGAUUUGCAAACUUUAUUAGCGAGGAACAAUUGGAGGGCAAGUCUGGUGCCAGCAGCCGCGGUAAUUCCAGCUCCAAUAGUGUAUAUUAAUGUUCCUGCAGUUAUUCGAUGCUCGUAGUUGGAUUUCUGGGGGCUGAUUCUGGACGGCGGCUAUGGCCGCCACCGGUUUUCUUCCUUCAUCCACCUGUUAACGUUGUUCGAGAUUCAUUUCUCGGCUUCGGGCUCAGGUAUUUUACCCUUACUAUAUUCAUUUAUUUAUCUUCUUUUUGAGCAAAUUAUAGUGUUUCAGGCAGGCGUGCGCCGGAAUACUUUAGCAUGGAAUAAUCGAAUUGGACUGUGUUCCUUAUUUGUUGGUUUGAUGGGCACAGAAUGGUUAAUAGGGAUAGUAAUUUUCAGGGGAGGCAUUAGUAUUUAAUUUCCAGAGGUGAAAUUCUUUGAAAUAUUAAAGACUAACUUAUGCGAAAGCAUUUAUUUUGCCAAUAAUGUUUUCAUUAAUCAUUGAACGAAAGUUAGGGGAUCAAAGACGAUCAGAUACCGUCCUAGUCUUAACCAUAAACGUUGCCGACUAGGGAUCGGAGGGCGUGCACAUUCCGCCUUCGGCACCUUACGAGAAAUCAAAGUCUUUUGGGUUCUGGGGGUAGUAUGGUCGCAAGGCUGAAACUUAAAGGAAUUGACGGAAGGGCACCACCAGGAGUGGAGCUUGCGGCUCAAUUUGACUCAACACGGGAAAUCUUACCAGGUCCAGACAUAGCGAGGAUUGACAGAUUGAUAGCUCUUUCUUGAUUCUAUGGGUAUUUUUGGUGGUGCAUGGCCGUUCUUAGUUGGUGGAGUGAUUUGUCUGGUUAAUUCCGUUAAACGAACGAGACCUCAGCCUGCUAAAUAGUUACUUGUCUUUCU